rnacentral:lncRNA from 1 species
AGCGCACGGACCGUCCCUUCGCUGUCCGAGGACUGCGGGCUCGGCGAUGCGCUAGCCGCACCGUCGCCGCCGACCUGCUGCUUCUUAGUCGCGAUCGGUACUCGGGAUGGGGAGGCGCGCCUCUUCGCCUGCCCGGAAUCGGGUGCCGUCGCCUUCCGCUUCGCCGUCGGUGGCGCAGCCGCGUGACCGAUGGCGGCGCCUCCUCUGCGGAGCUUGGUGUCGCCGCCGAGGGGCGAUCUUGGCACCGCGUCGCCUCGGCUGCAGGGC